rnacentral:rRNA from 1 species
GCAGCCGCGGUAAUACGGAGGAUGCGAGCGUUAUCCGGAUUUAUUGGGUUUAAAGGGAGCGUAGGCGGGAUAUUAAGUCAGUCGUCAAAGCCUGUGGCUCAACCACAGCCCGCGAUUGAUACUGGUAUCCUUGAGUGCAGAUGAGGUGGAUGGAAUUCGUGGUGUAGCGGUGAAAUGCUUAGAUAUCACGAAGAACUCCGAUUGCGAAGGCAGUUCACUGGGCUGCAACUGACGCUGAAGCUCGAAAGUGCGGGGAUCAAACAGGAUUAGAUACCCC